rnacentral:lncRNA from 1 species
UUCUCUUCGACACGAUCUGACCCUGCCUCUUGGUGCAAACUACGCGGAGCCUCACUCUAUCAAAAUAGAAAUUCCGCAAUACCACAGCAAAAUGAUACUGCUCGGAUACUAAAACAUGGAAAACUAACAAAAUUUUGCCACUGUCAAUCGGCUAGUAGGGUUAGAAACCAGAUGUCAAGGCACGUUUAUUUACUAAAACUUAACUUGAAGAAUUGAAGGGAAAUAUAGCAAGCAAAACUGGGGAGGCCAAUUUCAAAUCAAUUAGGAUACCUUGCCCAACAUGAUUCCGCUAUAGAAGAAAGUAUUUCGCAAUCUGUGGCACAACAGUACCCUCUAGAAGUCCCUCCAUACCCCAGACAUAUACCGGCCUCAUAGAAACUCUUGACAAACAAAUCAAAGGUCAGAAAGUUCUCAACACCAGGUACAUGAAUGAGGGACUAAGGAAACAUAAUACGACUAACUCCACAGAGGUGUGCUGACAGGAUAAGCGUUGGAAGAAUGCUUAUUAGCCUCAGAUCGCUUAAUGUAAGAGGAUUUAACGUCUUGGGUAAAGGGCUAACUUUCGCUUUUUUCCACAUUGAAGGAAAAACAGAAUUUUCGAGACAGAAGUUUAUGACAUGGACAAUAUAAGGUAGUAGAAAAGGCAGGCAUAGUCGAAUGGUAAGUAUAUUAAUUUCAUCAAUGCCCGUGGCAGUAGAUUUAAUGUUAUUAAUAACCUUUACAAUAUCAUACUCCGACACGGCCAAAAACCUAAAACUCGUUUGAAAUAAGUAAUUUUUAACAUUUUUAUAAUAAUUUAGAGUAUUUUUAUUUAAAUUAAUUUUUAGAACAGAGUUGAUAAAAAACUGAUUAAUUUUUUCAACAUUUUCAAGAUUUUUAGGAAUUUAUUUCUAUUUUGUUUAUUUUUUAGGUUAAGUAAUUUGAUUGAAGACCAAACAUCUUUUGUAGCAGUUAAUUGUAAGUUAAAAUAUGAUUUUUUUUCAUUACGUAUUGCAAAAGUGGUCAUAUUUCUUAGGAGUUUAUAACUAUUCCAGUCAUCAAUACUUUUAUUCUUUUUGUAUUUUGCUAGCAUUUUAUCUCUAUCCUGCAUCAUAGCCCUUACAGCGUCAGUCAACCAUGGAGCGUACGGCUUAGUAAUGCGAAAUUUUAUAGGUGGUGCUUGUAAAUUAAGCAACGCAACUAUGUUGUCGGUUAUAAAAAAAAAUUUUUGAUCAACAUCUGUUAAAUGAUAUAUAUUGUUCCAGGGUAUAGACCGAUGAUCCGAGUCAAACUGUCGCAGAUUUAUACUUUUGAAACGGCGUGUUGUUUUAAAAAUAUUCGUAUUUUUAGUUGAAUAAAACACAGUCCUUAUAUAAAUAAGUUCAUGAUCACUUCCAUCACAGGACGUUGUUCCACUAGCUAUCACAGAAUCUUUGUUUGUUGUCAAGGCACAGUCAAUUAAUGUAGCAGAGAAAGAUGUUAUGCGCGUUGGUCCCUCAAUUACCUGAGUCAAACCCAAUGCAUUAAAUAACUCAUUAAUUUUAAUUACAUCCGAAUUUUCAUAGUUAAGUAGAUUUAUAUUAAAAUCCCCAACACAAUAAAUAUUUUCAGGUACUGGAAUAAGAUUUAUCAGAGUAUUCUCAAAAUUAUUUAGAAACUCUAUGCAUGAAAAAGUUGGUGGCCUAUACACAACCUCUAUAAAAUAUUUUUUGCUUCAAUCGAUAGUUUAAACCAAAGCUGAUCUAUUGCAAGUGGAGAAUUAAUUAACGAAAACAUAAAUUUACUUUUUACGUAAGCGCCGACACCUCCGCCCCGACCAUCCCUAUCACACCUUAAAAGCCUAUAUCCACGAAUUUCAAAAGACUUACUUACAAAAGACUUUUUAAGCCAGGUCUCAGUUAAUCCAAUAAUAUCAUAAUUUGAAUCUAAGAUUAACUGCCUAAGUUCAUUGAAGUGGGCAUGCAAAGAUCUAAUGUUAAUAUGAGCAAUUGUCAGUGGUCUCAUAAUGCCUUGUGUGCUUCUGGUUGCAAAGCAAUAAUAAUUUAAAAAAAAGCACAGACCAAAAUAAAAUAGGUAAGAAAAGCUAUUUUAGGUCUAUAUAUAGGUCCAAGGAAGGAAGAUGUAUCCAGAAAACCAUUUAAUAAUUUUAACUCUUUCGGAGUAUAAGCAGCUAUAAUAACUUAUAUUCAAUAAAUCUAAUAGUUCAGUGUGCAGUAUUAUAGGAAAAUAGGCAAACGAUAUUAGCAAAUGCCUAUCAGAAGGUGUUGUCAUUAUUUUGGUCAAUGCGUAAUCUUUAAUUCUCCAACCUGUAUAUAUUACCUACAUAAUAUAAAAAUAUGAAAAAACUAGCCUGACCUUUAAACUUUAAGAUAACCCUUACGAAGAAAUUCAAUACAUUUUGCCUAUAUGUGUAAUCUUUUAAUUUUGCAAACAUCAAAUUAGUAUAGCCGCAAAUCAAAACAUUGACUUAUGCGAAAUCCGGACUUGACUCAGAUAUGCACUUUUUUUCAGUCGUUAAAAAAUAACAAUAAACUUAAGAUUGGUUCGUUGGAUGAUUUCGAUUGUAAAUACAAAUUUCACCCUUUUUGUACUGCUUAACACUUAACGAAAGCGCAAUUGUCAACGAUUUUUGUUAUCUUUCUGCUUUCGUUAAGUCUUAAGCAGAACUUACAUGAGUUUUAGAAAAUCGCUAAUAUUACGCUAUUUGGAAUUUGCAAAUUUCAUAUGAAAAAUUUUGUCGGAACAUUAAAAUCGCAUUGUAUAAAAACUUAUCAUAUAAAUCCGAUACACGCACAGAAGUCGUGGGUUCGAAUACUGUAAAAAUUUAAUUUUCUUCAUCAAAAUAUGCUUUUAAUAGUAAAUUAGAUCGAAAUAAUAGCCAAACUUUAGGGUUCUAAAGUAAAUAAGAUCACGUGCGUUCGCCACUUGUCAAAUGCCGAGGCCUACAACGUUUCAAUGCCGCAGCAUGUAAACGAAGUAAUCAAGAUGUGGGAUAAGACCAGCCUGCAUUAUGCAGGAAAAUGGCGAACGUACGUCUUGACUUGCUUAUUACGUAUCCUCGCAAGGAAAGGAAAUUGUUUUCGCUUAUGUAGGAGGAUAUAAACGUAAAUUUUUUUCUUCAAUAUACCCUACCAGUAGAGGUUGACAUAAGUGUAAAUAGAAUUUUAAAACUUUUAAAAUAAAAAUAAAUAUUUAAAGCUUUUCUCAAUAAUUGUAUACGUAUAAUAUUCAAAAAUAAAACUAUUUAAUUUUGGAUUAAUUUCCUUAAUAUUCCUAGAUAACCGCGUUAACAUAGAUUUUCAUGCCAGUCGACGUACAACACACAAUACCCAACGGCAACAACUAACUGUCUAUUGAAUAAUCUAGGGGCCUUUGCUGCUCUGGCAUCUUGCACGUCACAUUGUGUUACCACCCUGAUUUAAUGCGAAGUUCCGGUUUGUCCGUCUUCCUGCAUGUACGAGGACUAUGCUUUAUUAUGCUACAUGACUGGCUUAAAAACAAAGCUCUGUCGUUGUUAUGAGAUAUUCUUCCCCUUGUUUCGGACUUGGCCUGGAUGCGAGGACAAUCAGAAGAGUGCAUAAUAGAUAUCUAUUUUAAUAAUAAUAUUAAUUAUAAUGACAUGGUGUAUUAUAGAGAAGGACGUAAACCUGAAACAAACUCCCAGUCUCAAAUAAAAUCACUACCAAUCUUAAAAUUUUAAAAUGAGAUUAGGGACUUUGAUGAAUUUUUAAACUAUGUAUGUUUUUCUAGUUUAAAAUGAAUGUUGUUUUACCAUGCCAAAUUUUAAUCUCUCCUUUAUAAGUGUAUAUAACAAUUUUAACCUUAGAUAAUAAUUAAUUGUAUUAUAUGCAAUAAAG